UCUAUCAUACCCUGUUUAUAAUGGAACAGAGUUAAUUUAUUUUGUGGAUGAGGACACAGAAAUUGAUGCUCCAGCACACUGUUACAUUAUUUGGACUGUCAAGUUUAGUAGUUAGUAAGUUGUAAACAUGAUGAUCUUAUGAUAUUCAUUUCGUGUAAUUUUGUUUAAUUUGUAAUCUUGUAUGAUUUCUUAUGUAAAUUCUGCAGGUCGGCAAUUAGAAUAAUUUUUAGUCAGUUUAGUAGCAAUGGUUUAAGUUUUAAGGGAGGGGUAAAGAUCUGAUAAGGGCAAUUAGUUUUACCCCUUUUUGCCAUUAACACCUCUAAAUUAACUUAUUGAUUCCUUGUGGCAUCAUGGAAUACUUGCAGUUGAGUUGAUGCCAUGCAAGUUAGCUCUAAAUCUUAUUAGAUUUCACUUUGUUUACAGCUUUGCUAAUGCCCCAGAAUCUGCUCGAAUGGAUUGGUCCGCAUUCACCAAGGGCUACUUCUUGAAUAGAGAAACUCUGGUUGCCGUCCUACUUCUAAUUGAUGCGAGUGUACCACCUCAUAAGAUCGACCUUGACUGUGCUAAUUGGCUUGGACAGAACAAUAUACCAAUGACUUUUGUUUUCACAAAAUGCGACAAGAUGAAGGGUAAUGGGAAAAGGCCUGAUGAGAACAUCAAAAAUUUUCAAGAGCUGAUGAGAGAAAAUUACCGGGAACAUCCUGCACGGAUAAUGACCAGCAGUAACACUGGUUUGGGCAGAGACGAGCUUCUUUUGCACAUGUCACAACUACGGAACUUUUGGGAUAACUAGUACAUCCUAGUCAAACCUUGCAAUUUGUCCUGUUCUGGAAAUGGAAGAUUGCUUUUGAAGAUGAUGAGGAUCAGGGCAUCGUACAAAGGGCUUGGGAAGGUCUUAUUCCAAACUGUAUUUU